AAACCAGCACCUCAAGUGGUCAGGAGGAUUAUUGGGCCUAAAGCAUCCGUAGCCUGCUGUAUAAGUUUUCGGUUAAAUCCAUGUGCUCAACACAUGGGCUGCCGGGAAUACUGUACAGCUAGGGAGUGGGAGAGGUAGACGGUACUCGGUAGGAAGUGGUAAAAUGCUUUGAUCUAUCGAUGACCACCUGUGGCGAAGGCGGUCUACCAGAACACGUUCGACGGUGAGGCACGAAAGCGUGGGGAGCAAACAGGAUUAGAUACCCGAGUAGUCC
rnacentral:rRNA from 1 species